rnacentral:rRNA from 1 species
UGUCAGCAGCCGCGGUAAUACAUACUGUGCGAACGUUAUUCGGAAUCACUGGGCUUAAAGGGUGCGUAGGCGGUGGUUCAAGUCAGAUGUGAAAUGCCUGAGCUCAACUGAGGCAUUGCGUUUGAAACUGGAUCGCUUGAGUAUCCCAGGGGUGUGCGGAACUGCCAGUGGAGCGGUGAAAUGUGUUGAUAUUGGCAGGAACACCGGAGGCGAAAGCGGCACACUGGGGGAUAACUGACGCUGAGGCACGAAAGCCAGGGUAGCGAACGGGAUUAGAUACCCCGGUAGUCCUGGCUGUAAACGAUGAGCACUGGGCGGGAGGAAGUUCGCUUCUUCCUGCCGUAGCGAAAGCGUUAAGUGCUCCGCCUGGGGAGUAUGGUCGCAAGGCUGAAACUUAAAGAAAUUGACGG